UACGUAGGGUGCAAGCGUUGUCCGGAAUUAUUGGGCGUAAAGAGCUCGUAGGCGGUCUGUCACGUCGGCUGUGAAAUCCCGAGGCUCAACCUCGGGUCUGCAGUCGAUACGGGCAAACUAGAGUAUUGCAGGGGAGACUGGAAUUCCUGGUGUAGCGGUGAAAUGCGCAGAUAUCAGGAGGAACACCGGUGGCGAAGGCGGGUCUCUGGGCAAUAACUGACGCUAAGGAGCGAAAGCGUGGGGAGCGAACAGG
rnacentral:rRNA from 1 species